UACGUAGGGUCCGAGCGUUGUCCGGAAUUACUGGGCGUAAAGAGCUCGUAGGUGGUUUGUCGCGUUGUUCGUGAAAACUCACAGCUCAACUGUGGGCGUGCGGGCGAUACGGGCAGACUUGAGUACUGCAGGGGAGACUGGAAUUCCUGGUGUAGCGGUGGAAUGCGCAGAUAUCAGGAGGAACACCGGUGGCGAAGGCGACAUCCUGGACCAACACUGACGCUGAGGAGCGAAAGCCAGGGGAGCAAACGGG
rnacentral:rRNA from 1 species